rnacentral:misc_RNA from 1 species
AAGACUAUAGACCUGCGGAGUACCUGCGGAGGGAUCAUUACAAAUCGUUGAGUAUUGGAUAUGUGAUGUGGGGAAUGUUAGAUGACAGAAUGUUAAAUGGCAGAAUGUUAAAUGACAAUCUCAUGUUACAUAUAAAUAUUUGUUCGCGCUUGGGAUGUGCCAUAUUGGUGGGAUUACUUUCCAUUUCUAUGCCACUCCCCUGUGCAACACUUGCGCGUGUCUUUGUGUGCCAGUCAAAGU